rnacentral:lncRNA from 1 species
UCUCGGAGCACCCAUCAAUCGUCGGGUUCCGUUGGUCCCACGCCCACUCCUGGGGCUCCACCUGGUCCUUCCUCUUCACCGCCAUCUCCCUCUACCUCCUCCUCUCCCUCCUCCUCCACCUCCUCCUCUCCCUCCUCCGCCGCCCCGUCCCUCUCGGCCCCCUCCCCGCUUUCCACUCCCUCCUCAUGACCCUCCUCUCCUUCACCAUCUUCGCCGGCAUCACCCUCUCCUCCGUAGCCGAAAUCCGCGAUACCCGCUGGUUCUGG